rnacentral:lncRNA from 1 species
GACGACUAUACUCCGAACUUCUUUCGAACUUCGUCAAUAUCCGAGCUUCUCCGACAACGAGAUUUCUAUAGUAAUCAGACUCCAUCCAAGUUUCUACGAUGGUCAACCACCUUCCGGAUUCCAUCUGAGCUCCUACGAGAAUCGGAUUUCCAUCGAACUCCUACAGUGGAUGGAUUCCAGACAAAUUUCAAUAAUGGAAGAGCUCCAUC